rnacentral:lncRNA from 1 species
CGUCGGUCUCCUAAACCGAAGUUUGGGGGUUCGAGUCCCCCCGUGGGUCCAGUGUUUGAUGAAUCUCCCUGUGUGUUGAAACCAUGAGAACCGGCAGAUUGGGUUUACACUUUGCAGACAAAAAUCCUUAAUCUAGGCGAUUAAGCUCCAUUUACUUGCUGAAAGAGGAGCUUAAGGAUCUGGUGGAAAGACCUCUCUUUCAGCCCUAACAUUAUCCCUUAGAGGUUUAUCAUGAAAAACUUGCCUACGACAGAGUUUUAUUGACCUUGAGACCAUCUUUGUCCUGGUUUCUACGCUACACUCUGCAUUAAGAACCGGGUCCUUAUAAAGUAAUUUUAAAAAGAAAUAAUUUACUUAUUUUUUUCUUCUUGAUAUAUUUUUAACUGAAGUACUUUAUCAAUUCCCUCACAUUUCUUCAACUUGCCAAUUUAUUUUUUCUUGUGUAGUUUGUAGUGUGGUGACUUAGGCUCUUCCUUAAACUCUCCUCGCAUUGAAGGGUGACUGUUUAUUUAUUU